rnacentral:rRNA from 1 species
AUUGAGGUCAGCAGGCAGAUCCAUUUUCUGCCACCGAAUACAUUAGCAUGGGAUAAUGGAAUAGGACCCUGUCCUCCUAUUUUCAGUUGGUUUUGGCAGCGCGAGGACUAGGGUAAUGAUUAAUAGGGAUAGUUGGGGGCAUUAAUAUUUAAUUGUCAGAGGUGAAAUUCUUGGAUUUAUGAAAGAUUAACUUCUGCGAAAGCAUCUGCCAAGGAUGUUUUCAUUAAUCAAGAACGAAAGUUAGGGGAUCGAAGACGAUCAGAUACCGUCGUAGUCUUAACCAUAAACGAUGCCGACCAGCGAUUAGGAGACGUUGAAUACAAAACACCACCAUCGGUUGCGGUCGUCCUUGGCGUCUCGGUUUCGGCCGGGGCGCGGGGACGGUUUAGCCCGGGUGGCACCGGUGAAUGACUCCCUAGAGCUUGUGUGGAAGAA